rnacentral:snRNA from 1 species
AUAUUUACCUGGCAGGGGAGAUACCAUGGUCAUAAACGUGGUUUUCCCAGAGUGAGACUUACCUAUUGUACUCCGAAUUGUGCUGACCCCUGUGAUUUUCCAAAUGUGCGAAACACAACUACAUAAUUUGUUAUAGUGGAGGACUGUA